rnacentral:misc_RNA from 1 species
UUUCCGUAGGUGAACCUGCGGAAGGAUCAUUACAGAGUUCAUGCCCUCACGGGUAGAUCUCCCACCCUUGAAUAUUUAUACCUUAGUUGCUUUGGCAGGCCGUGGAAACACCAUGGGCUCCGGCUUAUGCGUGCCUGCCAGAGGAAACAAACUCUGUUUUUAAUGAUGUCUGAGUACUAUAUAAUAGCUAAAACUUUCAACAACGGAUCUCUUGGUUCUG